GCAGUUAUGCCGUUUGUGAAUCUAUCACUACGACAAUGUUGUACAAUUCAUUAAUGUAGAACCACACUUUCUAUAUCAGACUAGUCUAGUAUACUUUUUAAAGCUGCUGGAACCUCUUCUGGUAUAAUCGUAGGAGUCUGAUGUAGGAAAUGCAUCGAUUAAUAUUUUUUCUGGUGUAUGUUUAUUUAUUUUCGUACAUUCGAGCAUCCAAACCAGAGUGUUGCAGAAAUCAACACGUCUGCCUCAAGACGUUCAUGUCGAGUCAAGAAAUACCAGCGUCUGAUGUAUGCCAACGCCUCCACGCUUACCUCACAUGUACCAUCAAUCUAGAGGACGCCACAGUGGAGGACGUCAAAGAGAUCCUAGACCGUGUGUUCCCAGAGUUGGACGCUCUUAACCUAA